CUCUCUCAAUGGGACUCAGGUCUUAUAGAAACCGCAGGGCUCUCUAGCUACAAAGACUGAGUAUCUGUGCAUAAUGCUGUGGACUUCCUGCUUAUUUUUCCCAACAGAGAAGUACCUCACUGUUCUAAGCUUAUCCCCACUGGGAACAUUCUGGGGCAGAAGGCAGGCAGUUCUCUCCUCUUUAUGCAACAGCCUAGUCUCCUUGCCCCACGGGGUCUCAGUCACUCCCUGCUGCACCUCCGCACUCUGCUUCAAAUACUCUAGUCUGCAUAUAGUUGUUUGUUGAUUGCUUUGGUCCUUUAUUGUGGGCAGUAUGGAUGUUACGCAAUGCUAGUCAACUCUGUUGCUCAACCUCCUGAAGUAGCUCACUUCCGCAUGAAGAACAGUCCUCCAUUUUGGAAUAUCAUCCCCUCUGACUAGACACGGUAGCGCAGCAGGAUUCCUCACAGUGUGGUGAGUGAGACGUGCUCACACCAGAUGGACCCUGGCAAUCAGUGAGCUGACGGCUGCCACGACAGUAUCAUCCUCAAGUCUUGGUAAUCGCCUGAGGUCACCAGCCAAGAAGCCUCAUGCUGUUGCUUUAGUGUCCUGGUGCUGUCUCAAAUGAAUCCACAUGCAGGAUGGGAAGGUGCUGUGAACCAGUCAUGUCAAUUUAGAAUUACUACCAACAGCAGAACCUGGAGGCUUGACUCUGAAACCUGGAAAUGUGGAACAAAGCAGCAGAUCCUGACUGCAUGUUGAAGAUUUAAUCAUCUGGUAUCAUCUUGUCCCCAUCAGUAAAAGCCAAGGUAUGAGAAAAGAAAUUGAUGGAAGAUACCUGUGAAAAUAAUCAACUCAAACAUUAACCAUAUGACAAUCCAUAGUAAGUACUUCACAUAUGCAUUACUUAAUUUUUUUUUUUUUGACAGGCAGAGUUAGACACAGAGAAAGGUCUUCCUUCCAUUGGUUCACCCCCAAAGGCCUCCAAGGCCAGUGCUUUGCUGAUCUGAAGCCAGGUGCUUCCUCCUGGUCUCCCAUGUGGGUGCAGGGCCCAGCACUUGAGCCAUCCUCCACUGCCAUCCUGAGCCACAGCAGAGAGCUGGCCUGGAAGAGGGGCAACCGGGACAGAAUCCAGCGCCCUGACUGGGACUAGAACCCGGGGUGCCAGCGCUGCAGGCAGAGGCUUAGCCAGCAUUAUUUAACUUCAGGAUGACCAUCAGUUCUCUGUGGAUGAUGUCUCAUAGAGAUAGAGCAGCUGAUUACCUGAUAUAUGCAAAGGUUUUUAAAAAUCAAAUUGAAAAUACCUUCUAGAAAGGAAAACAGCUGAUGCCUUGCUUCUCAUUGCUUUCAAAUAAGUCCUUAUUUCGGGACAAAAUACAAACAGCCACUUUGAAAAUGAAAAGCAGUUUUUGCUGUUCACUCUUAAGCAGGAUUCCUGACCCCUUCUCUUUCCCAAAUGACCUUAUUUGACUUGAAAGCAAAACUAAUUUGUUGGGACAAAUGCGUCAGGGUGGGCAACCUGUCAGAGUAGAUCUGGAAGAUCCCAGAAGGCCAAGGGAAAGCAGAAUGCAGAACUUCUUGGAGCUUAAGGAUUUGUGCUAUAGCCUUUUCCAUAGAUAAGCUCUCCAAUGAUUAAGCAUGCGUAGAUAUUCAAUAGCCAGAGUAUGGGCAAUGUGAGUGGGAUAUAAGGAAGAACUCCCUUCUUACUAUUAAAUGGGCUCCUGGAAGGAAGGUGAGCCUUUUGUUAACUGAUAUUUGACCCCUAAAAUAAAUUGCCCCUGUCUCUACCAGUUUUGAACUUAUUUCCCCAAUUUCUCUAUGCAUUUCCCACUUCCUUUGGGGCCUUGUCUGCAUUUUCCAGAAAUGCUCAAAAAAAAAAAAAAAAUUCUGGUGGGAGUAGAUACUGAGGAGUCACAAUUAUCAUUCAUUGCAGGAUGCACUGAAAAAAAGAAAUCUUAAAAAAAAAAUUCACUGCUUCCCCAGUUUGGCCAUGUUUAACACAUAAUGCCUCUUUCCACCAUGAGAACAGCAGUGAGUACUGGACCAACCAUUCCCCCACUUCACCCACCUUCCACUUUGGUUGUCUGGGUGAGCAACCUACAUAAUCGUGGAGCUGUCUGGGAUGUGAACACCUCAUUCUGUUCGCUCAGGUGUUGGCCACACAAGCAAAAUGUCAGGUGAAAAGCUGUUACCUGAAAUACUCCCAGACUUGCCAUCUCCUUUUCAAUAAACAGAGGAAGAGUUGCUACCAUGUGCUUUGAUAUAAACAGGCACAGAGGUGUAGACCCUUCAGCAUUGGGGAGGCUACACAGAGGAUGCCUGCAAUGAAUGAGUUACAUACACACAACAUGUGCAUACCACAGGUACUCAAGAAUGUUUUUUGAAUAAAUUAAUGUGGAGAAUCCAGGAUUAAUUUGGGAAUGAGAAUACUCAAUCAAAUCAGCAUACCCAUUAUAUGGAUAAGAACGCUAAGUGUGCUUUGUGAUUAAUGUUUCCUCCGUGGCUCUUUCAGGAUUGCACCUGAAGACUUAGUCCCAGUGGCCAAGUGGCUGUGGAAAUAGCCCAUAAAAUUCUCCUCCUCCUCCAGGCACUGUACUAGGGCAAGCAGGUGGAGAGGGGUAGCACAGUGGAGGGAGGUUGCUGAGCACAGCUUUGCAGCCCUAGGAAGCCAGAGUGCCUGGAGCCGAAUCCCAACAUUGUCGCACAUGAACUGGGACUCUGGGCCAGUUACUUCUUCUCUUGGAUCCUCAUCUGUAAAAUGGAGUGAACAAAAGUACUAUCCUCUUCAGAAUACCAUGAGGAAUAGACAUCAACAGCAGACAAGGUCACCUUGAGACUGCAAUGGAUCAGAACAAAAAUAAGAUACUUGAAACAAUCAAACCACAGAAUUGCUCUUGCCUCACCGAAGCAUCUGGUGCAGAACAUAACUUCCCCUCCUCGGUGUUUGCUCCACAUCGCCACGCUCCAGCCUAAAUCCUGCAAGUCCUUUCUAAUAGCUGUUCACUGAGACGCCGCCACUGUGCCCCCUGGCAUGCAUGAUCCUGCCCUGCAAGGGGUAAUCAACAAGUUGUCAACUACUAGUGUGCUCCUGUGUCGCCCUAGAGACAGCACUGAUCCAGGGCAUGGAGGAAGAAGUGAACAUUUAUGGAGCAUAUCCUAAUUCAAAGGCUCUGGGUGAGACACCUAACCCAUACUAUUUUACUUAAUCUUCAGGAUAACCCUAGGAGGUGGAUAUUUGUUAACUACAUUUUACAGACAAGGAGGUAGAGUGUCAGGAGCCAAAUAAUUUGCACAAAGUAAUGAAGAGCAGGUAAGUGGGCUAAAUCUAAUAGUACUUAGUACAUUGCAGGAAAUCACCAAGAGGCACACAGCAGAAUAUUUGCAAUCAAACACUGGCACAGCAACUCCACGGGAGGAAUUCAGGCGAGACCAGGUAUGUUCCCCACCUGGAACAAAAGAUGGGAAUGGAAAUUGCAACUAAAGAGACAAAGGAGGUCUUUUGUCUGGGUCACGCCUUCCUCUGUCCCCUGCCUGUGUUAAUUACAACGUUUUCUUGACUGAUAAUCAUCAGUCCGUGGAGGAAGUACAGCCCUUCCAUUGGUUUCCAGAUGAAGGCUUCAUGAGGUUCUACAGCAAUCAAAUCAGAACCUGUGCGUCCUCCAAUAGAGCUAAAGGGGCAGGAGAUGACCUUUCCAGCUCUGCUCCCUUCGUGAUGCGUCCUGCAUGUUGUCUCCAUCCAGCAUGCAGCAGGCACAGCCCCUUCUCAGAUGUGCACGGUCAGAUCUGCAUGCUCCCUACACGUCUCUGCUGUGCGGGAAAUGGGUGGCCUCUAUGGAAUUUCACUGUCUGGCCUCCAGUAUGUGCAGAGAGACACCCCAACAUUCUGACUGAAGUCCCCCUCUGAGCACAAGUAGGCAAUUCAGGACCACCCAAUUUGCCUACUUUGCCUCAGUUCUUUCCCAGCUCUGCAGGCAGUAAGAAAGCUCCACCUCGGAGUGAGAGCAGGGGUCUACGCCUCAGCCCACUUGACCUUAAGCCAAUUAGGUAACCUGUCUCUGCACCAGUUUUACCCUCUACAGGAGGAGAUGACAGGAAUGCUUCCCUUUAAAGGGACUUCUUUUUCCUUUUCCCCACCCCUCUUCCCUUCACCCAUGUGGCUCCCUGAGCUCAACUCACCACCAGGCUUCAUGGGUAGGCAUGAAAUUCAAGCCUGUCGAAUCGAAAACAUGGUCAAGGAUGAGCAUGUCAUUUGGCAUAAGUCACUCACAAAAUACUAUGACAAACACCUUUUCAUUUGCUGUAAGCUUGGAGCUGCUCAGAGUUGGCUUGGGUAGAGCCAAUUGGUAAGAAAGCCAAGAGAAAGGUGAAGCAAAGAUUUUUAAGAAUGCAGGGAUCUAGCCGGAAGCAUCUCCUGGUGUUUUCCGUCCUAGGAGCAAAUGUUCCCUCCCACCUUUGCAAAUGUAAACACACGUUAAGGUGAGUUUCUGCCAUUUGCAUCCAGAGGAGGGUUGACCAAUACACUUUCUCUUACUGUACUGUGAGAAGUAAGUUAGAAGAUCCAUAUGAAGCAUUUAGCACAGUGCAUGGAACGCCUCCGCGACCCAGGCAGCCCAUUUGCACGUGCUGGUGAGGAGAGUGUGUCCCAGCAGAGCCGGAAUCUCCCCUCCAAGUCACCUGUACUGUGACACCCGCAGCCCUUGGUGAACACCAAAACACAACGUCAUCCUGGGAGUGACUUCUGAUCUUCUCAACUUUCAGGAUUUAUCUUGGCAUUACCCCUCCCAGUGUCCUGCCUACAUGUGCUGGCCAGUCCCUCGGACUGCUCUCCUCUCUGACACAACUCACGGCAAAACGAGGGGUAACAGCAGUACUGUGGACACAGGAAGCCAUUCUGGCACCCAGAGCCCACUUCCUAAUGAAUCUCAAAAGGAUCAUCACCGCUUCACCAGAAGAACAGUGUUGGUGGAAGAAUAUGGCUAAGGCACAGCAACUCAGCAGGACCCGGAAGCUUCAACUUCAGCACACAAAAGGAAGGGGAGGGGCAUGGACUUCAACUUCAAAGUUUAAAGAACAAAAUCCUAACUAUGUAAAUACAAUGUCCCCCACACCUAUCCUGGUAAGCCAUGAGGGGGCUUGGAAACAUUUCUUUUAAUUCCAUUCUACAAUGUGAAUUUACCAUGAACAUCUGGAAAUCCCAUCCCAUUCUUCACUCCUUCCUACCAGUCUUUACGGAAUUGGGGCCAAUAUGAAGUUAAGAGGUGCUACAUGUUAUGUUUUCUUCAGAACUGCCCCAGCCAGACCUCUUAUUUGCCCCUUUGGGGUUGCAGUUUAUAGAAUAAAUUUGCCACAUGAGCAAACUGUGAUUCAUUCCUUGCCUCAAGACUACAUGGUAUUUAAAGGAUAUGGGGUUAGAUUCAAAUACAGAAUCGUAGGAAAAUGUUACAUUGGAAAUUAAUAUUAAAUGGUUCUGGAGCAGAUAAAGCUGCAAAGUGAGAUGUCUCUAUCCCAUAUCAGAACACCUGGGAUCGAGUCCUCCCUCUGCUUCCAAUAGUGGCUCCCUGCUGAGAUGCAUGCUGGGGGGCAGAUGCUGGCUCAAGUGCUUGGGUCCCUGCCUUCCAUGGGGGAGACCCAGUUGGAGUGUCUGACUCUGGCAGGGAUUUGGGGAGUGAACCAUGAAAGCACACUCCCCCAAACACACAUCACACCUAUCAUAAAAAUAAUCAGUAUUCAACAUCAAUAGUCCUGUCCAGUGCUUCCAAAAACUGGUCUCUCAAUCUGAGGUGAUAGAACCAUCUAGAAAGUUUUCAGAAAAAUACAGAUUCCCUGAACCUUUCCCUAGAAUUGGUUUUCAAUCAUGCAGGGUAGAGCUGGGGCCACUGUUGCCAUAACAUUUGUUAAAAAGCAUUAAAAACAG